GCGGUGUGCGUUAUCAGAUCGUAGCUGAUGUGGGACUUUUCACGGCAACCUAUUAAUUUAGGUUGCUUUGAGAGCCUUCUUUUUGAGAAUCGCUUUCACCCUUCACUGGUGUGACUGUGGAGCUCAAAUCGUUUACUUUGAAAAAAUUAGAGUGUUCAAAGCAAGUUUUAUGCGACUGAAUACAUUAGCGUGGAAUAAUAGAAUAGGACUGAGUUCUAUUUUGUUGGUUUAUAGAAUGAAGUAAUGAUUAAUAGGGACAGUUGGAGGCAUCAGUACCCCGAUGCUAGAGGUGAAAUUCGAUGAUUAUCGGGUGACUAACUACUGCGAAAGCAUUUG
rnacentral:rRNA from 1 species